rnacentral:rRNA from 1 species
GACGAACGCUGGCGGCGUGCUUAACACAUGCAAGUCGAGCGGUAAGGCCCUUUCGGGGGUACACGAGCGGCGAACGGGUGAGUAACACGUGGGUGACCUGCCCUUAGCUCUGGGAUAAGCCUGGGAAACUGGGUCUAAUACCGGAUAUGACUCCAUGACGCAUGUUGUGGGGUGGAAAGCCUUGUGCGGCUAGGGGAUGGGCCCGCGGCCUAUCAGCUUGUUGGUGGGGUGAUGGCCUACCAAGGCGACGACGGGUAGCCGGCCUGAGAGGGCGACCGGCCACACUGGGACUGAGACACGGCCCAGACUCCUACGGGAGGCAGCAGUGGGGAAUCUUGCGCAAUGAGCGAAAGCCUGACGCAGCGACGCCGCGUGGGGAUGACGGCCU